GUCUCUGAAAUCAGUAAUAAACAUACCUUUAAAACCACCCUUUGGGAGGCUGUGUCCUAAGAAGUGUUAGCUCAGGAGGUGGGUUUUUUUCAGAACUCACAGACCUACGCCCUCCACGGCCGGCCCAGCGGGAGAGGGUGCCGUGGGAGGGCUCCUGACGCGGGGGCUGGGUGCCUUGCAGGGAAACUGAAGGAGUGGAGCCUCGUCCUGUACGGCACGGCCGAGCACCCCUACCACACCUUCAGCUCGCACCAGGCCCGCGCCCGCAUGCUGGAGCUGUCCACCCCGGCGCUGGAGCCGCCCAAGGCCGCCCGGCCGCCCGCCCCGGCCGAGGGCCCGGAGGAGGAGGAGGACUACACAGGCGUGUGCCACCCGGAGUGUGGGGACAAGGGCUGUGACGGUCCCGGGGCCGAUCAGUGCCUCAGCUGCGUGCACUUCAGCCUGGGCAACGCCAAGACCGGCAGGUAAGGGCGGGGCCCAUCCGCGUGGGGAACCCACGCCCCACCCCCGGGAACGGGCUUUGCUGUGUUUUGUUCAUCCUCCCCUGAGGGUAUUUUUCCAUUGAUUGUUAGAGCGAGUGGGAGGGAGGGGGGGAAAGAGAGACACAUCGAUUGGUUGCCUCCCAAAUGCGCCCCAACCGGGACCGGGAAUCAAACCUGAGGCCCUUCGGUGCUUGGACCGACGCUCUAACCACUGAGCACACCGGUCAGGGCAAAGGGGGUCUGUUUUGAGCUGUGUUCUCAGCCCCUCCACACACACACACACACACACACACACGGCACCCUACUUAAAAAUUUGAGUGAA